rnacentral:lncRNA from 1 species
CUGUGUGGCGCUAGGAUGCCUGUAACACCCUGGGAACAAAUCCGAACGUUCCUUCUAAACCAACGCAGGCCGACUCGAGGCUCUGGCUGUCAGGGGAACCUCAGCAGAACUGAAGAAGCUUUGCUUUGUUUCCACGGACUGUAGAAGCAUUGUGACAAACCACUGAGAAGAGACAUGGAAGAGUUUGGAAACAUCUUUAAAUAGUUUUCUUGAAAGGGCAGGAUAGGAGAUACUUAAACAUGAUCCUAAGCAUGAUCAUUUCAUUCAUAAAUAUAUAUGAAAUUAUAUUUUGUGAU